rnacentral:rRNA from 1 species
GUGUUUUUUAGUAAGGGCGUACGGUGGAUGCCUUGGCAUGCUGAGCCGAUGAAGGACGUGUGAGGCUGCGUUAUGCCUCGGGGAGUUGCCAACUAAGCGUUGAUCCGAGGAUGUCCGAAUGGGGAAACCCAGCACCAGUUGUGUGGUGUUACCCGCAGGUGAAUUCAUAGCUUGUGUGGGGGUGUACGCGGGGAAGUGAAACAUCUCAGUACCCGCAGGAGAGGAAAAUAAUAAUGAUUCUGCUAGUAGCGGCGAGCGAACGUGGAUGAGGCUAAACCAUGUGCGUGUGAUACCUGGCAGGGGUUGCGUGUGUGGGGUUGUGGGAUGUGAUUGUUACCAGGGCUGUCGACUUGGUGCGUGUGUGUUGUGUGUUAGCGGAAGUCACUUGGGAUGGUGCGCCGUAGUGGGUGAGAGCCCCUGUACGUGAAAACAUGCAAUGUGUGCGUUGAUUGUGUCCCGAGUAGCAGCGGGCUCGUGGAAUCUGCUGUGAAUCUGCCGGGACCACCCGGUAAGCCUAAAUACUCAGUGUGACCGAUAGUGGAUAGUACCGUGAGGGAAUGGUGAAAAGUACCCCGGGAGGGGAGUGAAAUAGUUCCUGAAACCGUGCGCUUACAAUCCGUCAGAGCACCUCGUGUGUGUGAUGGCGUGCCUUUUGAAGAAUGAGCCUGCG